UACGUAGGGGGCAAGCGUUGUCCGGAAUUAUUGGGCGUAAAGAGCGCGUAGGCGGUCCGAUAAGUCGGCUGUGAAAGUCAAGGGCUCAACCCUUGAAAGCCGGCCGAUACUGUCGGACUAGAGUCCGGAAGAGGCAAGUGGAAUUCCCGGUGUAGCGGUGAAAUGCGCAGAUAUCGGGAGGAACACCAAUGGCGAAGGCAGCUCUCUGGGACGGUACUGACGCUGAGACGCGAAAGCGUGGGGAGCGAACAGG
rnacentral:rRNA from 1 species